UGCUAUGGAGUCCCAUUUGCACCUGGAAUGCUGGGAACAGGGGAUGGAGCAGCAAGAAGCAAUUGAAAGGAUUAGGAUGGAACCUUCCUCAAGCUUCACAGGCUUGUCUGCUGGCCACAGACACCAUUAUGUACACAGGAAAAUCAGAUCAUUAUCUAAGGCCAACAAGCUCCUCCUUGAGAUGUUCUGCCAUAUAAUCUGGAGGAAAUACUGUAAGACUUUGUCAGCACUGAGUCAUUUGCACUGGGAGUCUUACCAGAAAAAAAAAAUCUUGUCUUCUCAGAAGGUUGUUUACUGUUCUAUUCAAAGAUCAAUUUGUCAUGUCAACACUUUCUCUAAUACAAUGGCAAGUGGCAAGAACAAACUGUACAGAAUCCUGUUUCCAAGAAUACCCUUCCUGAGGCCAAGAUGUGUCCUCUGGAAAGAUACCCAUGACACAGACCACAGUGGACACCAACUCAGAUACUGAGGGAAGGUUCCACGACAGCUGAACAUGGACAGCAGACAUGCUGAACACUGAGCCCCUUAGUACAGAGCUGCUAAGCUUUCCUCUCAAGCUGACGGGGGCUGGUACUGCCUUGAAGCCCUGGGAGAUGCCAUGCCAAUUCCCAGCAAGGUCUUUAUUGUUGAAAGUCUUGCACGAUGACAUCUUUAUUCAUGUGAAAAUACAGGAUGAAUUUCAACUAUAUGAUAUUGUUUAUGUUCAUUAGAAAUGUUAUUUGUCUUUACCAAGUCUGGUUUCAAUGAACCGGCUAUGUAAUGGAUAUUAAAUAAACAUGGAAUUUUACAUGUUC
rnacentral:lncRNA from 1 species